GUUUCUGCUCAAUGGAACUCUAAAUAGCCGCAGUACUCUGACUGUGCAAAGGUAGCAUAAUCAAUUGGCCUCUAAUUAAGGUCUGGAAUGAACGAACUUAUGGGUAGCAACUGUCUUAAAAUAGUUAAUUAAAUUGAUUAAUAAGUGCAAAUACUUAUUCAGUUACAUUAGACGAGAAGACCCUAGAAACUUAUAAUUAUUUUGUUGGGGCGACAGAAUUACAUAAAAACUAAUUUUAUUUUACAAGACGUAAAGCAGAAAGAAAAAGUUACUCUAGGGAUAACAGCAUAAUUUUUAAUAGCUUGUGACCUCGAUGUUGGACUAGGUAGAUAGUUUUUUAGAAGAAAGCUUUCUUGGCUCUGUUCGAGCAAUUUUAACCU
rnacentral:rRNA from 1 species